UUAGGACGAAUUCAUAGCAAGGUAACCGAUAGGAAUUCCUGGUGUAGCGGUGGAAUGCGCAGAUAUCAGGAGGAACACCGAUGGCGAAGGCAGAUCUCUGGGCCGUAACUGACGCUGAGGAGCGAAAGCAUGGGGAGCGAACAGGAUUAGAUACCCUGGUAGUCCAUGCCGUAAACGUUGGGCGCUAGAUGUAGGGACCUUUCCACGGUUUCUGUGUCGUAGCUAACGCAUUAAGCGCCCCGCCUGGGGAGUACGGCCGCAAGGCUAAAACUCAAAGGAAUUGACGGGGGCCCGCACAAGCGGCGGAGCAUGCGGAUUAAUUCGAUGCAACGCGAAGAACCUUACCAAGGCUUGACAUACACCGGAAACGGCCAGAGAUGGUCGCCCCCUUGUGGUCGGUGUACAGGUGGUGCAUGGUUGUCGUCAGCUCGUGUCGUGAGAUGUUGGGUUAAGUCCCGCAACGAGCGCAACCCUCGUUCUAUGUUGCCAGCGGGUCAUGCCGGGGACUCAUAGGAGACUGCCGGGGUCAACUCGGAGGAAAGGUGGGGGAUGACGUCAAAUCAUCAUGCCCCUUAUGUCUUGGGCUUCACGCAUGCUACCAAUGGCCGGUACAAAAGGGCUGCGAUACCCGAAGGUGGACGAAUCCCAAAAAGCCGGUCUCAGUUCCGAUUGAGGUC
rnacentral:rRNA from 2 species